rnacentral:lncRNA from 1 species
CUGCAUGUAAAAAAUAUAUAAACUACACAUUUUGAUAGAAAAUUUAAACAAAUGGAAGGGCCUGUUUAAGAACCAUUAAAAAAGAUAAUUUUAAGAAUAUAUUUACCAAUCUUUAUUUUUUAUGAGCUCAUUUAUGACCUCUGCCUAGAAAUGUCAAAGGGUUUCUUCAAGAGUAAAAAGUUUCAAAGAUUUAAAAAAUCUUUUUUGAAAUUGUGCAUAAACUGGGGAGGUACUCUUAGUUGCAUGCAACUUUAUAAGUACAUGUACCAACAUUUAUGAUUCAAGGUCAAUGGUAACAAUCAAUUUUUAAAAAAUUCAGAAAUUAGUGUGUGCAUUGAUUAUUGCCAUUUCAUUAAUUUAGACUAAAAUACGAUUUAAUUUUGUGUGAUAUUGAGAAAACCCGUUUAAUUCAUAUAAAAAAUUUCAAUUUUAAAUUAUUGAGAUUAUCGACCACCAAAAUUUGCAAAGGAUUGACACCAGAUAUAAAAAGAUUUUGAGAACUCUAUCAACCUGUUAAGGUGGUACCCAACACUUUCACUAAAAUUAAUUUGGCUCAAUUAAUUUUCAUAAAAUAUUUUUACUUUGACCAUUGAACAAAUAUAUAAAAAAUUCAAAAAUUUUGAACUAACCGUUUUGUCAGAAAAAUUACACUGGUUAUAUAGCAGUUUGACAAACACCAAUUUGAUCAUUGAGAAGCUUAAUAUUCCCCUUUACAACACAACGUAAUUAAAACGUUAAGCUGACUUUACAGAGUUAUCUCCCUGUAGUGUUAGGUACCACCUUAAGGACCUUAGUGUUUGAUAUCUGAUUUUUUUUUU